UGGUAAAAUUUUAACAGGUAAGGAAUGAGAGAAAAAUGAUAUUCCUGAUGGAAAAAACGAAAGCAAUUGCAAGGUGGUGGGAAGGCCUGUCUAUGCAGCAUAUUCACCUGUACUCACCUUUCCAUAAAACUGUCCCUACCCUAAUGAGACAUGAAAACAAAAACUUGAAGUGAAAAGUUAUAACUCUCUAGGCAGCUCCAAAUUGACAAAAUCAUGGGGGACUCAUUCAGGCUCCAAGCAGGCCCCGGGGGAGUUCUUGUCUAGUCCUAGGACAGAUCAUGACAAUAUCUGGAUAGCCAAACCAUACUGGCUGUCUAGGGCAGUGGUUGGCAAACUCAUUAGUCAACAGAGUUCUUUUACCUAUCCUAGGAAAUAAUGAUCAAAAUGAGUAAUUUAAAACAGUACUCACUAAAAGCUACCACCAUGGCUCAUUAGGGAGAUAAAAGUUACAUGAAAUGCCUUUCCUCAGGUUACAGAUUUUUUUAAUGAUAGCUGAUGAAGCAAAUAUAUUUUAAGAAAGAUUUUUUCUUCUUC